GUGGAUUUGAGUUUGGGAAGUACAAGACAGAUUUCACAAAAACUAAAAUUAUAUGGGAAAUAACAAGACAUAUUCCAUCACAGAUUUCAAAUCCCAUGGUGGAUUUGAGCUUUGAUUUCACGGGAAAGAGGUAUCAAGCGUCUGAUUUCACGGGAAGAAGGCAUGGAACGAGCAGAGGACCAGUAUUGAGGUAAGGUCACGGGA
rnacentral:lncRNA from 1 species